rnacentral:misc_RNA from 1 species
AAGUUGUAACAAAGUUUUCGUAGGUAAACCUGCAGAAAAAUCAUUAUUAAAGAUUGAGAAAUUAGUUUUAACCCGCUCAGUAUUCAGAGUUCUAGACUCCGAAUUGGUCAACCCUUUGUGAAUUAAAACCCUUUUUACUUCGGUAGCUAGGCUUGAUUGCCUAUCAGCCUACCGCUAACACCAACCUUUUAAACUUGUUGUCAAAUAUUGUCUGAUGACCAAAAUUUUCGAAUGAAAAUUAAAACUUUCAAUAAUGGAUUUUUUGGUUCCC